rnacentral:rRNA from 1 species
ACGGGUGAGUAAUGCUUAGGAAUCUGCCUAUUAGUGGGGGACAACAUCUCGAAAGGGAUGCUAAUACCGCAUACGUCCUACGGGAGAAAGCAGGGGACCUUCGGGCCUUGCGCUAAUAGAUGAGCCUAAGUCGGAUUAGCUAGUUGGUGGGGUAAAGGCCUACCAAGGCGACGAUCUGUAGCGGGUCUGAGAGGAUGAUCCGCCACACUGGGACUGAGACACGGCCCAGACUCCUACGGGAGGCAGCAGUGGGGAAUAUUGGACAAUGGGGGGAACCCUGAUCCAGCCAUGCCGCGUGUGUGAAGAAGGCCUUUUGGUUGUAAAGCACUUUAAGCGAGGAGGAGGCUACCGAGAUUAAUACUCUUGGAUAGUGGACGUUACUCGCAGAAUAAGCACCGGCUAACUCUGUGCCAGCAGCCGCGGUAAUACAGAGGGUGCAAGCGUUAAUCGGAUUUACUGGGCGUAAAGCGCGCGUAGGUGGCCAAUUAAGUCAAAUGUGAAAUCCCCGAGCUUAACUUGGGAAUUGCAUUCGAUACUGGUUGGCUAGAGUAUGGGAGAGGAUGGUAGAAUUCCAGGUGUAGCGGUGAAA